GGUGGGGGAUAACGUAGCGAAAGUUACGCUAAUACCGCGAUAUUCUGUGAGCAGGAAAGCAGGGGAUCGCAAGACCUUGCGCUGAUUGAGCGGCCGAUAUCAGAUUAGCUAGUUGGUGAGGUAAAGGCUCACCAAGGCGACGAUCUGUAGCGGGGUCUGAGAGGAUGAUCCGCCACACUGGAACUGAGACACGGUCCAGACUCCUACGGGAGGCAGCAGUGGGGGAAAUUUUGGACAAUGGGCGCAAGCCUGAUCCCAGCCAUGCCGCGUGAGUGAAGAAGGCCUUCGGGUUGUAAAGCUCUUUCGGCCGGGAAGAAAUACGCACGGGUUAAUACCCUGUGUGGAUGACGGUACCGGAAUAAGAAGCACCGGCUAACUACGUG
rnacentral:rRNA from 1 species